UACGUAGGUGGCAAGCGUUGUCCGGAUUACUGGGCGUAAAGAGCGCGCAGGCGGUUGUGCAAGUCGCGUGUGAAAGCCCCGGCUCAACUGGGAGGUCACGCGAUACUGCUCAACUCGAGGCAGGAGAGGGAAGUGGAAUUCCCGGUGUAGUGGUGAAAUGCGUAGAUAUCGGAGGAACACCUGUGGCGAAAGCGGCUCACUGACCACACUGACGCUGAUGCGCGAAGCUAGGGAGCAACAG
rnacentral:rRNA from 1 species